UACGUAGGGUGCAAGCGUUGUCCGGAAUUAUUGGGCGUAAAGGGCUCGUAGGCGGUCUGUCGCGUCGGGAGUGAAAACUCGGGGCUUAACCCCGAGCCUGCUUCCGAUACGGGCAGACUAGAGGUAUGCAGGGGAGAAUGGAAUUCCUGGUGUAGCGGUGAAAUGCGUAGAUAUCAGGAGGAACACCUGUGGCGAAAGCGGCUCACUGGACCAUAACUGACGCUGAUGCACGAAAGCUAGGGGAGCAAACAGG
rnacentral:rRNA from 1 species